rnacentral:rRNA from 1 species
GCAUAACGCGAAGAACCUUACCUAGGCUUGAACUCCUACGAAUCCGGGGUAAUGCCUGGAGUGUCCGCAAGGAAAUGUAGUGAGAGGUGCUGCAUGGCUGUCGUCAGCUCGUGUUGUGAAAUGUUGGGUUAAGUCUCGCAACGAGCGCAACCCCUAUCGUCUGUUGCCAGCAUUAAGUUGGGCACUCUGACGAGACUGCCUGGGUUAACCAGGAGGAAGGUGGGGAUGACGUCAAGUCCUCAUGGCCCUUAUGUCUAGGGCUACACACGUAAUACAAUGGCGCGUACAAAGGGAAGCGAACUCGCAAGGGGAAGCAAAUCUCAAAAAGCGCGCCUCAGUUCGGAUUGGAGUCUGCAACUCGACUCCAUGAAGUUGGAAUCGCUAGUAAUCGGAGAUCAGCACGCUCCGGUGAAUACGUUCCCGGGUCUUGUACACACCG